CAAAAACAUUGCCGCGUGCUACUACUCGCGGUACUUUCUGCUCAGUGAGACUUAAACAGCCGCAGUACCCUGACUGUGCAAAGGUAGCGUAAUCAGUUGUCUUCUAAUUAAAGUCUUGUAUCAACGAACAUAUGGGGGCCUACUAUACCAGUAAUAUAUAAUAAACUUACUUAGGGGGUGAAAAUACCCUCGCAGCUCAAUAGACGAGAAGACCCUAGAAAUUUUCACACACGUUUUUGUUGGGGCAACAUGGUAACAUUAAACCUACCUUAUGGGCAAGAAAUGCUUUUGUUAGCGUAAAUUACUCUAGGGAUAACAGCAUAAUGAUUUUAUCGUUUGUGACCUCGAUGUUGGAUUAGGGAGGUUAUAACUUAGAAGGUUUUUAACUGCGCUCUGUUCGAGCA
rnacentral:rRNA from 1 species